GAAUCCUAAUUGGGUGUUGUUAGUGGCAUGUCCUGGACCCGAAGCGGGGUGAUCUACCCAUGGCCAGUGUGAAGCAGCUGUAAGAGGUUGUGGAGGCGCGAACCCACGUAGGUUAAAAACUGCGGGGAUGAGCUGUGGGUAGGGGUGAAAGGCCAAUCAAACUCCGUGAUAGCUGGUUCUCCCCGAAAUGCAUUUAGGUGCAGCGUCACGUGUUUCUUGCCGGAGGUAGAGC
rnacentral:rRNA from 1 species